rnacentral:rRNA from 1 species
CCUACGGGAGGCAGCAGUGGGGAAUAUUGCACAAUGGGCGCAAGCCUGAUGCAGCCAUGCCGCGUGUGUGAAGAAGGCCUUCGGGUUGUAAAGCACUUUCAGCGGGGAGGAAGGCGGUGAGGUUAAUAACCUCAUCGAUUGACGUUACCCGCAGAAGAAGCAACGGCUAACUCCGUGCCAGCAGCCGCGGUAAUACGGAGGGUGCAAGCGUUAAUCGGAAUUACUGGGCGUAAAGCGCACGCAGGCGGUCUGUCAAGUCGGAUGUGAAAUCCCCGGGCUCAACCUGGGAACUGCAUUCGAAACUGGCAGGCUAGAGUCUUGUAGAGGGGGGUAGAAUUCCAGGUGUAGCGGUGAAAUGCGUAGAGAUCUGGAGGAAUACCGGUGGCGAAGGCGGCCCCCUGGACAAAGACUGACGCUCAGGUGCGAAAGCGUGGGGAGCAAACAGGAUUAGAUACCCCAGUAGUC